GGGACAACAGUUGGAAACGACUGCUAAUACCGCAUAAGCGCACAGCUUCGCAUGAAGCAGUGUGAAAAACUCCGGUGGUACAAGAUGGACCCGCGUCUGAUUAGCUGGUUGGUGAGGUAACGGCCCACCAAGGCGACGAUCAGUAGCCGGCCUGAGAGGGUGAACGGCCACAUUGGGACUGAGACACGGCCCAAACUCCUACGGGAGGCAGCAGUGGGGAAUAUUGCACAAUGGGGGAAACCCUGAUGCAGCAACGCCGCGUGAGUGAAGAAGUAUUUCGGUAUGUAAAGCUCUAUCAGCAGGAAAGAAAAUGACGGUACCUGACUAAGAAGCCCCGGCUAACUACGUGCCAGCAGCCGCGGUAAUACGUAGGGGGCAAGCGUUAUCCGGAUUUACUGGGUGUAAAGGGAGCGUAGACGGUUUUGCAAGUCUGAAGUGAAAGCCCGGGGCUUAACCCCGGGACUGCUUUGGAAACUGUAGAACUAGAGUGCAGGAGAGGUAAGUGGAAUUCCUAGUGUAGCGGUGGAAUGCGUAGAUAUUAGGAGGAACACCAGUGGCGAAGGCGGCUUACUGGACUGUAACUGACGUUGAGGCUCGAAAGCGUGGGGAGCAAACAGGAUUAGAUACCCUGGUAGUCCACGCCGUAAACGAUGAUUACUAGGUGUUGGUGGGUACGACCCAUCGGUGCCGCAG
rnacentral:rRNA from 1 species